AUGGAGUUCCAUCUCUCAGUAAGUACAUACAUCUAUUUCUCUUGUGUACCAGGUGAGGAAACACAUGCACAUACAGGACUCCUGGAGCAAUACAUGUAUGAGUUGCCGCAGCUCCUCCUGCAUGCCCGGGAGGGAGGCACAAUACACGCCGUCGCGGCAACAUUGAGAACUCACCGGAAAGGUCGCGCCGACGGCGGCGGCACGCUCGCCGGGAAACAUGCACAUGGCGUAGCGCUGUCCGGUGGCGGCAGUGCAUACGUACAUCUAUAUCUCUUUUGUGUAUGCAGGAGACCAGGAGCAGAAGCAAAUGCGCCCGAAUAG
rnacentral:rRNA from 1 species